GCUUAUUUCAUUCUACAUUGCUGUGCUUAACUGAGUUAAAAGCUGCCCGGGACCAUGUUUUUGUUUCUGCCGUAUUUGCAUGCCAUAUGAAUUUAAAACCCUUUGCUUUUUUUUUUCUAUCUUUCUUCCUUUUUUAGGGGGUGGGGUGUUCUGCAUUUUUAUUGCAUUUUCCCCAUUCCUAUUCAUUCCUUAUCUUAGGAUUUCUCAUCCUCUGAAGCACGAGAGUAGCUACCGCGAGCUCACCUACUGCUGCUACAUGGGACUGCCUGCAGCGGGCACGAGGCUUAGACAUUAUGGGGACAAUUCAGGUUCUGCCUGGCAUACUGCAGAAGCAUUGCUGUAUUUUACCUGACCGGAACACAGUUAGGAGGCCAGCUUAGGAGUUGCAGGCUAGGAGUUGAAGAGUUCCACUGCAAUCAAGCUCUUUCCCAGUCUUAGCACAGAAGCUGCUGGGGAGCUACAAUCCAGAGAAGGAAGAGAGUCCUUGGGAAAAAUGGGGCCAUUGCUACAGGGCCACCAGCUCACCUAGGUGCUGUUUCCACCUUACCCAGCCUUGAGUCUUGGGAAUACCUUUUAACCAGUCUUUGAAUUAGAGGCCUUGAAUGACCUAUACCUUGGAAAAUGGCAUGCCUCAGUGACUCUUCCUGCACAGUUGAAGUGCCAACAAUUUUUCUCUCAGUGUCAGUUCUCUAUUUGUAAACUGGAGAACAGAGCUGUACGCAUAAAGAAAGUACAUGGGAACAUCGAUCACAUUCCCCUUGUGACUGUGUGUUAAUACAUCUACUGCAAACUUUUAUUUUCAGUUCUUACAACUUGGCUAUGGAAACGUUUCUUGCAGAACCUUCCAAAAAGGAAGAUACAAAACUAAUUCAGCUGCUAUGUAGCAAUUCCAUUUUGGAAGAAGAUAUUGUAUUUAACAAGAUCAGGUGUUUCAAGCAUGGAAGAAGAUUUAGCUUUUCAAACAUAUAAAGCAGCUACAAUACCUCAG
rnacentral:lncRNA from 1 species